GUUAUACUUUAUCCAGCCAAGGAUAAAGAUCGUGUUGAGCUUUUCCUUGCUGCAGCACACAUGGGGGUUUUGAUUUUUCAAAAUGGCUCCAAAAUCAACACAUUCUCCUGGGCAAAAAUAAGAAAGCUUAGUUUUAAGUGGAAACGAUUUCUUCUAAAGCUUCAUCCAGAGAUAUUUGUAAGUUUAAUUUCAAAGAAUCUUGUUUAGAACACUGAAAAUUGCUCAAUUCAAGGGAAAUGAAAGGUCAUUUGAUAAAUAAUU